rnacentral:rRNA from 1 species
GAUGAACGCUGGCGGCGUGCCUAAUACAUGCAAGUCGAGCGAACAGAUGAGGAGCUUGCUCCUCUGACGUUAGCGGCGGACGGGUGAGUAACACGUGGAUAACCUACAUAUAAGACUGGGAUAACUUCGGGAAACCGGAGCUAAUACCGGAUAAUAUAUUGAACCGCAUGGUUCAAUAGUGAAAGACGGUUUUGCUGUCACUUAUAGAUGGAUCCGCGCCGCAUUAGCUAGUUGGUAAGGUAACGGCUUACCAAGGCAACGAUGCGUAGCCGACCUGAGAGGGUGAUCGGCCACACUGGAACUGAGACACGGUCCAGACUCCUACGGGAGGCAGGAGUAGGGAAUCUUCCGCAAUGGGCGAAAGCCUGACGGAGCAACGCCGCGUGAGUGAUGAAGGUCUUCGGAUCGUAAAACUCUGUUAUUAGGGAAGAACAAAUGUGUAAGUAACUAUGCACGUCUUGACGGUACCUAAUCAGAAAGCCACGGCUAACUACGUG